rnacentral:snRNA from 1 species
AGCUUUGCACAGUGGCAGUAUCGUAGCCAAUGAGGUUUAUCCGAGGCGCGAUUGUUGCUAAUCUAAUUCUAUUAGUUGUAGGGUUAGUUUAUUAAAGACUUUUCUUGUUUCUUGAGGUAGGCCUA